UCAAAACACAUUUAAAGGUUGAGAAAAUUGAUAGUAUCAAUGUUUUUGGUUCUUAAUAAAAAAGGUAUUAAUUUUCAAAAAGGUAAUUGCAUCACACAACUUAAUUGAGUAGUUGCAUCAUGGAUUAAGUUAAAAAAAUACAUGGUUGAAUUUAUAAUUAAGCUUUAAUUAAGCACUCAAGCUUUGAAACCUCUGUAAGAGCUUUAAGUGCUGUUAAAUAUUUUGCUUUUCAAAGUUUUUUGGUUUCUAUACAUUGAUCUUAGCUCAAAUCAAAAGAACUCCCAAAGAUAAUUGCAAAACAACUGCAGUUAAAAAAAAAAAUCUGAAUCUGAAGGCACAACACAUAGCAAUCAGGAACAGUCUGUGAAAAACGUAUCAACUCAACACAACCAAAUUAUUAAGGUUUCUUUCAAACAAAUACAAUUUUGAAAUAAAAAAUUACACACAUGAAGACCAAUUUGUUAGGGCCGGCAUAAACACAACAGACAAUCAAAUUGGUACAGUUUGUAUCAAAGAAAUAUAAUUUCGAAGAAGAAAUUUACAACAACAACAACAACAACAACAAAGCCUUUUCCCACUAAGUGGGGUCGGCUAUAUGAA
rnacentral:lncRNA from 1 species